AGACCCACGGCAGUACAUAUUCUAAAACUGGAACCAUACAGAGAAGAUUAGCAUGACCCUUACGCAAGGACGACACGCAAAUUCGUGAAACGUUGCAUAUUUAA